rnacentral:rRNA from 1 species
UACAGAGGUCUCAAGCGUUGCUCGGAAUCACUGGGCGUAAAGGGCGCGUAGGUGGGUUGGCCAGUCUAUGGUGAAAUCCUCCGGCUUAACCGGAGAACUGCCGUGGAUACUGCCAGUCUCGAGGAGGGUAGGGGCGUCUGGAACUAGCGGUGGAGCGGUGAAAUGCGUUGAUAUCGCUAGGAACUCCGGUGGCGAAGGCGAGACGCUGGACCCUUUCUGACACUGAGGCGCGAAAGCCAGGGGAGCGAACGGG